CCACAUCAUAUUGAAACACUGCUUCCCGUAGGAUCACCGAAGUUAAGUAACGUCGAACCUUGUCAGUACCUAGAUGGGUAACCGCUUGGGAAUACAAGGUUCUGUA